rnacentral:lncRNA from 1 species
UGCUCACGCACACCAUUAAUGCCAUCAUAUCUCAUGGAUGAGAGUUUAAACAAUAGGAUGCUUGUAAAUGCCUUGUUAAAGAUAAGAAUCCACUUGUUAGCUGCAUUUGAGAAUUCUUUUGCAGUCCUGAUAGGAUUUUCCCAACCAUUUGUUGGGAUUUUGACGUAUCGAAUUUGAUCCACUGAAGAAAACUCAAAAUGGAUAAGCCC